UCCUCCAUGGCGCAAUUGGCUAGCGCGUCUGACUGUUAUCAUCUCGAUAAUGAGAGCAAUCAGGAGGUUGGUGGUUCGAGCCCACCUGGGGGAG